UACGUAGGGGGCAAGCGUUGUCCGGAUUUAUUGGGCGUAAAGAGCGUGUAGGCGGCCAUACAGGUCCGUUGUGAAAACUGGAGGCUUAACCUCCAGACGUCGAUGGAAACCGUAUGGCUAGAGUCCGGAAGAGGAGAGUGGAAUUCCUGGUGUAGCGGUGAAAUGCGCAGAUAUCGGGAAGAACACCCGUGGCGAAGGCGGCUCUCUGGGACGGUACUGACGCUGAGACGCGAAAGCGUGGGGAGCGAACAGG
rnacentral:rRNA from 1 species